AGGAAAUUGGAGGGCUAACUAAGUUGGAGCUCUUGGACUUGAGAAACAAUAAGCUAACUGGUACAAUACCCAAGGAGAUUGUAGAAAUGCACUCUCUAAAACAUCUUUUGCUUUGCCACAACAAAUUCCAAAGCAGAACAUCUGCUGAAAAGUCUAACAAGCACGCCGAUCAAAUACAAGAUUGGAAUCAUUCAUGUGAUGCAGCUGAUGAUCUACAACCUCUAAACAGAAAAGUUGGGCAUCGUUUCUGGGAGACAAGCUGGGAGAAACUGAAGAAAAUUAAUUCCUUUCUAGUCAUGCUUGAAGGAAGAAUCAUACAAAUCUUUAGCAC